GAUGAAGAACGUAGCGAAAUGCGAUAAGUAAUGUGAAUUGCAGAAUUCAGUGAAUCAUCGAAUCUUUGAACGCACAUUGCGCCCCCUGGUAUUCCGGGGGGCAUGCCUGUUCGAGCGUCAUUUCACCACUCAAGCCUCGCUUGGCAUUGGGCAACGCGGUCCGCCGCGUGCCUCAAAUCGACCGGCUGGGUCUUCUGUCCCCUAAGCGUUGUGGAAACUUUCGCUAAAGGGUGUUCGGGAGGCUACGCCGUAAAACAACCCCAUUUCUAAGGUUGACCUCGGAUCAGGUAGGGAUACCCGCUGAACUUAAGCAUAUCAAUAAGCGGAGGA
rnacentral:misc_RNA from 1 species